rnacentral:rRNA from 1 species
UACGGGGGGGGCAAGCGUUGUUCGGAAUUACUGGGCGUAAAGGGCUCGUAGGCGGCCAACUAAGUCAGACGUGAAAUCCCUCGGCUUAACCGGGGAACUGCGUCUGAUACUGGUUGGCUUGAGUGUGGGAGAGGGAUGCGGAAUUCCAGGUGUAGCGGUGAAAUGCGUAGAUAUCUGGAGGAACACCGGUGGCGAAGGCGGCAUCCUGGACCAUUACUGACGCUGAGGAGCGAAAGCCAGGGGAGCAAAGCGGG